rnacentral:tRNA from 1 species
GCCGGAGUGGUGAAACUGGUAGACGCGCCGGACUCAAAAUCCGGUGGAGGCGACUCCGUGUGGGUUCGAGUCCCACCUCCGGCACCA